AUUGAACGCUGGCGGCAGGCCUAACACAUGCAAGUCGAACGAGUGGCGGACGGGUGAGUAAUGUCUGGGAAACUGCCUGAUGGAGGGGGAUAACUACUGGAAACGGUAGCUAAUACCGCAUACCCUCAGAUGUGCCCAGAUGGGAUUAGCUAGUUGGUGGGGUAACGGAUCACCAAGUCGACGAUCCCUAGCGUGUCUGAGAGGAUGACCAGCCACACUGCAACUGAGCCACGGUCCAUACGCCUACGGUAUGCAGCAGUGGGGAAGAGUGCACAAGUGGCGCAAGCCUGAUGCAGCCAUGCCGCGUGUAUGAAGAAGGCCUGCGGGUUGUAAAGUACUUUCAGCGGGGAGGCGUUACCCGCAGAAGAAGCACCGGCUAACUCCGUGCCAGCCGCCGCGGUAAUUC
rnacentral:rRNA from 1 species